GCUGGACUGGCCAAGGCGGAAGCCAUGGGACAGCGAGACCAUUCCCAAGGGAGAGAGCCACACGUACAAAGGCUCUGAGGAAGAAAACUUGGCCUGUUGGAGGCACUGAAAGCGAGGAAGCAUGGCUCACAGAGGUGGCCAAGCUGAGGCUAAAAGUGAGCAGAGAUCGAGCCAAUGCACUCCAGCCUGGGCAACAGAGCAAGAGUUCAUCUCAAAAAAAAAAAAAAACAUUUAACAUGAGGUC
rnacentral:lncRNA from 1 species